AGUGAAUAGAUACCCGGGUAGUCCACGCUGUAAACGAUGGGUACUAGAUUUGGUGGGUCUUGACCCCCGCCGAAAUCGGCGCUAAACGCACUAAGUACCCCGCCUGGGAAGUACGGUCGCAAGACUAAAACUCAAAGGAAUUGACGGGGGCCCGCACAAGCGGUGGAUCAUGUGGUUUAAUUCGAAGCAACGCGAAGAACCUUACCUGGAUUUGACAUCCUCUGACAACCCUAGAGAUAGGGCUUCGUAGCAAUACGACAGAGAGACAGGUGCUGCAUGGCUGUCGUCAGCUCGUGUGGUGACAUGUUGGGUUAAGUCCCGCAACGAGCGCAACCCUUGUCCUUAGUUGCCAGCAUUAAGUUGGGCUCUCUAAGGAGACUGCCGUGGUUAACACGGAGGAAGGUGGGGAUGACGUCAAGUCCUCAUGGCCUUUAUAUCCAGGCGACACACGUGAUACAAUGGGUGGUACAGAGGGAAGCG
rnacentral:rRNA from 1 species